CAAUAGCGUAUAUUUAAGUUGUUGCAGUUAAAAAGCUCGUAGUCGGAUUUUGGCUGAGAACGAUCGGUCCGCCGUUAGGUGUGCACUGAUUGGUCUCAGCUUCCUGGUGAGGAGGUGUGCUUCACGGCCACUUAGUCACCGUGGUUACUUUGAAAAAAUUAGAGUGUUCAAAGCGGGCUUACGCUUGAAUAUAUUAGCAUGGAAUAACACCAUAGGACUCCUGUCCUAUUUCGUUGGUCUCGGGACGGGAGUAAUGAUUAAGAGGAACAGUUGGGGGCAUUCGUGUUUCAUUGUCAGAGGUGAAAUUCUUGGAUUUAUGAAAGACGAACUUCUGCGAAAGCAUUUGCCAAGGAUGUUUUCAUUGA
rnacentral:rRNA from 1 species